rnacentral:rRNA from 1 species
CCUACGGGGAGCAGCAGUGAGGAAUAUUGGUCAAUGGACGCUAGCCUGAACCAGCCAAGCCGCGUGCAGGAAGACUGCCCUAUGAGUUGUAAACUUCUUUUAUAUAAGGGUAAAGCUCAAUAUGUAUAUUGAGUUGCAAGUACCUUAUGAAUAAGGAUCGGCUAACUCCGUGCCAGCAGCCGCGGUAAUACGGAGGAUCCAAGCGUUAUCCGGAUUUAUUGGGUUUAAAGGGUGCGUAGGCGGGUUGAUAAGUUAGAGGUGAAAGUUUCCGGCUCAACUGUAGAAUUGCAGUUGAUACUGGUAUCCUAGAGUAUAGAAGAGGUAGGCGGAAUGUGUGGUGUAGCGGUGAAAUGCUGAGAGAUCACGCAGAACACCGAUUGCGAAGGCAGCCUAC